rnacentral:rRNA from 1 species
UGGGGGAAUCUUCGCGCAAUGGGCGAAGCCUGACGCAGCCAUGCCGCGUGAAUGAUGAAGGUCUUCGGAUUGUAAAAUUCUUUCGUCGGGGACGAUAAUGACGGUACCCGGAGAAGAAGCCCCGGCUAGCUUCGUGCCAACAACCGCGGUAAUACCAAGGGGGCUAGCGUUGCUCGGAAUUACUGGGGGUAAAGGGCGCGUAGGCGGAGGGUAAUUCAGAGGUGAAAUCCGAUGGCUCAACCCUGGAACUGCCUUUGAUACUGGCGAUCUUGAGUAUGAUUGAGGUAUGUGGAACUCCGAGUGUAAAGGUGAAAUUGAAAUCCAUUUGGAAGAACACCAUUGGCGAAAGCUGGUAGAGGCUCAUUACUGACGCUGACCCUCUGGACCGUGGGGACCCUCAGGAUUAGAUACCCUGGGAGUC